rnacentral:tRNA from 1 species
AGCUUGCUUCUAUCGACCGUUUUAGAAACAUCAGUGGCCAACGAUCGUCAGGAUUGUUGAGCUGCAUUGGCGGGAUUUCGCCGUCUUCGUUUCUCUUUCUUCGCGGACGAACACGCGCUGGGCCUGCGAGAGCAGGGUCCCUGGUCCUUGACGGGAUAUGCGUUAGGGGCUUGUAGCUCAGUUGGUUAGAGCGCGCGCUUGAUAAGCGUGAGGUCGGAAGUUCAAGUCUUCCCAGGCCCACCACACUCAUCGGGUAAGCAUUCGUCUUCUGGUUACGGGGCCAUAGCUCAGCUGGGAGAGCGCGUGCUUUGCAAGCAUGAGGUCGUCGGUUCGAUCCCGUCUGGCUCCACCAGAUGGUUUGAUCACCGAGGCUGUGUUUGCAGGUAUUCAACCGUCGUCCGCGAAACAUCACUUCGCACCUGCUAGUCUGGAUAGACAGUAAGGUGCGUGAUUUCUGACAUCGUAAAGAGGAGAUCGAUCCGAGUUGGAUCGGGCAGCAAGCAAUUGCUGCGCGAACCUUCAUUAUCUCCGGAUCAUUUCGGCGCUCGCGCGCCUUUCAAUGCGGCUCACAAGGCUGCGUCUGAAGGGAAUGCGGGUUGUAAAUGAUCCUUUUAGCGAAGCUUGACCGCCUCGCUAUCGGAACGAUCUUACCAAGCAAGCUGGGUCUUUCUAAUCAUUGUCCGGCUGUACGUAGCGUUCAUCGAGGGCGCGAUGCCCUAAGGCAAUCUUCCAGACAACAUUCUGCCGAGUGUGUGGACAUUGAUAAUGAGACCAAUCAAACUGCCCUAAGGGUGUUCGGGUCGAUGCUUUCCCGCUGAAGGCGAUGAAGGA